rnacentral:rRNA from 1 species
AUGGCGCCGCUCGCCGGAGCCGCCGUCGCCUCCUGCAUGAUCCUGCUCCUCCUGCUCGUCCCCUGCGCCCAGGGCCAGGGGCAACCACCCGAGGCGCCGGAGGAGGCUUGGGCCGAGAGGCAACCACCCGAGGCGUCGGAGGACGCUUUGACGCUGCUCUUGUCCGAGGGCGGGUGCGGCGCCUUCGCCGGCCUCGUCGCCGCGAUGGCCGGCGUGGGUGACGCGUUCCGCGAGCAGAUCGGCAGUGACCUGGGGCUCACCAUCCUCUGCCCUGACGACGAGGCUGUGUGGCCGUUCAUCCCGAGGUUCCAUAGCCUCACCGUCGACGAGCAGGUCGCGGUUCUCCUGUACCACGGCCUGACGAUGGCUUACUCCGAGGAGCUGCUCAGCCAGGUCCACUGGGAGUGGGAGGUGUUGACGUUUGAUGGGGAGCAGACACUCACCAUCCGUCACUACAGAGGCAGGGCGAUACUUUCUCCGUGGCCGCCGUCGUCACGGAACGAGGCCAGGAUCACCAAGACGGUCGUCGACGACGACCAUCUCGCCGUCUACCUCAUCGACGCCGUGCUGAUUCCGACAGAGCUGAAGUCUGUGUCCCUGUUCUGGGCCGUAGUGGUACCUUUCCUACUUGUUGCCGUUGGAAUCGCCUUAUUCUUGCUGUUUCAUGCACUUGUAUAUCUUUGUUCUCUUGUGUGUCAGCUGACAAGAUGGUGUAAGGCUCGCGCUGCUGCCUACGCUUCGGCCGCCCGUGUCACUCCACAUGGGCAAGGGCAACAACAAGAACAUUAG